GGGUCUCGGGGUCGCGCCUGAGCGCCAUGGCUGUAGCCCAGGCAGACCCGGGUUCUGACCCCGCUGGCGGCGCCCGGUUCUUCUGCACCGCGGGCCGCGGCCUGGAGCCGUUCUUGAUGCGGGAGGUGCGCGCGCGGCUGGAAGCCACGCAGUGAAAGCGUGAACCAUCAGCUCAUCUCCCUGGAGCUGGAGUAACUGGUGAUUGUGGGCUGCCCUGCGUGGGUGCUAGGAUGCAAACAUGGUUCCUCUACAAGACUAAUACCCAGUCUUAACCAGGUUGAAUACAUUUCAGGAAAAGUGUUUUUCACCACCUGUUCAGAUUUGCCCUCUAUGAAGAAGUUGAAGUCAGCGGAAAGACUGUUUGUGUUGAUUAAGAAGCAGCUUCCCAUUGCAGUCUCUUCUCUGCACAAAGGAAAAAUACUUAAUGAGAUGCAAAGAUUUGUAAAUGAUGAUCCAGGAAGUUGGCUGGAGGCCAUUUCACUUUGGAAAAAACUUCUCGAACAUGACCCAAAAAGAGAAAAAGUUUCUCAAAGGGAUGCUAACCCACUAAAACGGAAAGCGGGAGAAAAUGAAACUAUCAUUGCUAAGAAAUUAAAAGUGGAGGAGAAACAAGAGGUUGCCAAGGAUCACGGAGAAAGCCAGGAGGACAAACUUCUGCAAGGCUCCCCGGAGCAAGGAGAAGCUGUCACUAGAACAGAGCUGCAAGACCAUAGACUCAAUAGUACCACAGAGAAGGCAGCUGAUGCUCAGGACCAGGAGGACUUGACCUUCAGGGUUUCCUGCCGCUGCACCGGGAAUGUCAGAAAGGUCAUCACGGGACAGGAGGCAGGAAGAGUGAUUGGACUUGCUCUCAUGAGGCAGUUUGGAUGGAAAGCUGACUUGAGGAAUCCAAAUAUAGAGAUCUUCAUGCACCUGAGUGAUGCUUACUCCGUGGUGGGGAUUCCUCUGCUCAGAAUGCCCUUGGCCAGCAGAACUUACAUCCAGACAGCUGGGCUGCGGUCAACCAUAGCGUGGGCCAUGGCGUCCAUUGCAGAAAUUAAGGCUGGAGCACUGGUUUUAGAUCCGAUGUGUGGCCUUGGGACUAUACUUGUGGAAGCAGCCGAAGAGUGGCCAGAUGUAUUUUACAUGGGUGCUGAUAUGAGUGACGCACAGUUACUUGGCGCAUGUGACAAUCUGAAGGCUGCAGGCCUUACAGACAGGAUUGAGUUACUUAAAAGCUCUGUUACAGAUUUACCACUGCCAUCACAAAGUACGGAUGUUAUUAUUUCUGACAUUCCAUUUGGGAAAAAAUUUAAGUUAGGAAAAGACAUCAAAAGCAUUCUACAAGAAAUGGAAAGACAUGUGUACACGUCAUGGGAGUUAGGGUUGCAGACAGCACCUGUGGCAGUUGAAGUUUCUGUAGGUGUGACACUGAUGAAUCUGCCUGCCUGCCUGCCUGCUGCCUGCCUGCCUGCCUGCUGCCUGCCUGCUGCCUGCCUGCUGCCUGCCUGCUGCCUGCCUGCCUGCCUGCCUGCCUGCCUGCCUGCCUGCCUGCCUGCCUGCCUGCCUGCCUGCUGCCUGCCUGCUGCCUGCCUGCUGCCUGCCUGCCUGCCUGCCUGCCUGCCUGCCUGCCUGCCUGCCUGCCUGCCUGCCUGCUGCCUGCCUGCUGCCUGCCCACUGUCAGGGAAUUGAAACGUUUACCACAGAGUCAGGAAGAUGAGAGUUUCCUGCGUGGUUAAGCGUGCCUCAAGUGCUGCGUGUUGGUGGGGCCAUGGUCUUGUUGCUCAGUGAAGAUCACCACCGGCAUCUUACAGACUGUGGAGGCAGCAGCAUCCCCCUGACUUCCAAGGGUCACAUCGCUGAGCCUGAGAUGAAGACGCUUUCGAAUCCUGACAGAACUGGUGCACCCGACACAGCAUCACCUUCACAAAGAGCAAGUAGCGUGCAGUGUCUGGGCAGGAUGCGGCCCUGUGGCUCAUUGGUACCAGUGGAAUCCUUCAAAGUUAGCCUUGGAAAAACAGAUGCAUUUAUAUGUAAGUAUAAGAAGGCACAAGCUUCGGGACUGUCCUCAGCUGAAUGCCAUGAGCCAGGUGCACACACCGAGAUGGCAGCCAUGCAAGAAUCCCCUUCUCUCCAGGAUUCCUUAUAGCCCCGGAGCUCCAAGAACACAGCCUGUAUGGGUGGAUGUGGCCAAAAACACUCUUGUCAAAUAAGGCUUCCUGCCUUGGACUCUCCAGUAUCCAGUUCUUGACAGAGAACAGCUGGUUAAGAUUUUGAAAAGACUUGAUGUAAAAAACUACUUCUUCCCAAAAGUCUAACUAUUAGAAAUGAGGAAACCUUUAUGGGUAACUUUUUUUAUAUAUUAAACUUGAUUUUUGUUUUUUAACCUAUAAUUUGCUUAUAGACUCUUGUGUGUGGAUGCUGGACCAUACGGAGUGGCACUGUUGGCUGUGGCUUGUUAACAGCUAGGAAGUUAAUAUGGAGCUAGACACUCAGGGAUGUCAAGCAAAAAAUCCCCAGAAAUGUGAGUGUGUUGCUGGCUGUGUAGCCUCGCUGGGUAAAAGAUGGGUUAGAGAGAGCAGUAUAGAAAGUCUUUGGCAGGUCUUGGUGGUGAGACAAUCUAUUACUCCUGUGCUUACCAGCUGCCACAGGAUUCAUAAAAAACCUGAGGAACAUCAGGUCUGUGGGGUAGCCUCUCUGGUUAUAACAGAACUUGACAGCCCAGGAGAAGACAUUCGGUUUGAGUCACUGCAGUGGUCUCAGCCAGGGGCAACUUUGUCUGUAGAAGAUGUCUGGGAAUAUCUUCAGAUUUUAGCUACUGCCUUAUGAGGCAGAGAGAGAAAACAGGAGUCUCGUGAAUAAAGACAAGCAACUAUUAAGCUUCCUGAGACACAUAGAGCAGCCCCUCACAACAAAAUAGCACCAGUGUCAAGCUGAGAAACACUGGCUUAAGGCAGAUACCGAGGAUCACUCGAGACGAUGCCAAGACAGCCCUUCAAAUGAAAAAAUAGACACGUUAGAGGGAAGAGACCUCCCAGCCUUCCACAGAGAAAACUUACAACCAAUAAAAAUAGCUGCUCUUGACCAAGAAGGGAAGUAUCUAGACCUCUCUGUCCAUUGCUAUCUGGCAGUGCCAUCCCUGGAAUUCCAAGUACUACUGAAGUCCACGAGUCAGAAUGGGGGCUCAUGGACUUCAGUGAUAAGUGACCCUUUGACCCUGAACUGCCUCACAGUCUUAUAUAACAGAUACUACCUACUGAUGCCAAGGCACUUGGAUAGUUGUUUCCUGCUCUGACACAGUACCUGGUAAAAGCAGCAUGAGAAACAAGUAUCUUUGGACAUGCUGUUUGAUGUCACCAUCCAACGUGACAGCGGGGCAUGGUAGCAAGAUCAUGAAGCAGUUGGUCACAUUAUAGCCACAGUCAGGAAGUAGAAAGCAAUGAUCCUAUUGUUCAUCUUGUGUCUGAGUUAGGGUUUUACUCCUGUCAACAGACACCAUGACCAAGGCAACUCUUAUAAGGACAACAUUAAAUUGGGGUGGCUUAUAGGUUCAGUCCAUUAUCAUCAAGACUGGAGCAUGGUAGCAUCCAGGCAGGCAUGGUACAGGAGGAGCUGAGAGUUUUACAUCUUCAUCUGAAGGCUGCUAGCAGAAUACUGGCUUCCAGGCAGCUAAGAUGAGGGUCUUAAAGCCCAUGCCCAGUGACACACCUACUCCACACCUAAUAGCGUCACCAACCCCUAGACCAAGCAUAUACAAACCAUCACACCUUGUGUUUUCCUUUCAUUCCAUCCAGAACCCCAGCCCAUGAAAUGGUGCCAGUCUCCAUCAACCCCCUCACAGACAUUCCCAGAGGUUUGUUUGUGCAGUUCUAAAUCCCAUCAAGCUAUCACACUUUAUCAUCACAGAGUUGUUCUAAGCCUACAGCACAUUCAUUACCCAAACCCUAGUUGAAUUUAACCAUUCGGGGGAGGCAGGAUGCAUAAGAAACAACUGAUAGCAUUUAUUUGCCAGGUUAGAUCAGUUGUGAUAGCUGUGAAGAUGAGAAAACAGAAUGAAGUUCCAGUCUGGGAGAAAUGAGACACUCUAACGAGACACCUGCGACUCUCAGUCUGACUGCCAGCCUAUUGGAACAGUGGACCUCAAAAGAAAUGAGAAUUUCCGCCAGGAAUCUGCUGGGGGAAGGAAGAGGCCCCAGCCAGAGGAAGAACCUUUCAUACAGACUUUACGCAUCUAACAGCAUAUCAGACCACUUUACAGGUAAGACUGGAGCCCGGAUAUUGGGUCAGAGUAGACAGGACCACACAUUGACCUUGAUUGCUUAGAUGUAUGUGUUUUUAGCUCCCUAUUUUAUUAAUUUCACUUCAAGAAACAUAAAGGUAUAUUUACAGGGUAUUUAGAGUUUUUGUUGGAUCUUUGUCCUUCUUCCCAAUGUGACCACAUUGAAUAAAUCCAUUUCUGUUUUCCGAUACUAA